rnacentral:misc_RNA from 1 species
GAUGAAGAACGUAGCGAAAUGCGAUACGUAAUGUGAAUUGCAAAUUCAGUGAAUCAUCGAGUCUUUGAACGCACAUUGCGCCCCCUGGUAUUCCGGGGGCAUGCCUGUCCGAGCGUCAUUGCUGCCCUCAAGCACGGCUUGUGUGUUGGGCCCCGUCCUCCGAUCCCGAGGGACGGGCCCGAAAGGCAGCGGCGGCACCGCGUCCGGUCCUCGAGCGUAUGGGGCUUUGUCACCCGCUCUGUAGGCCCGGCCGGCGCUUGCCGAUCAACCCAAAUUUUUAUCCAGGUUGACCUCGGAUCAGGUAGGGAUACCCGCUGAACUUAAGCAUAUCAAUAAGCGGAGGA